CAGUCGCCGCGGGAAUACGGAGGGUGCAAGCGUUAAUCGGAAUUACUGGGCGUAAAGCGCACGCAGGCGGUCUGACAAGUCAGAUGUGAAAUCCCCGGGCUUAACCUGGGAACUGCAUUUGAAACUGUCAGGCUGGAGUCUUGUAGAGGGGGGUGGAAUUCCAGGUGUAGCGGUGAAAUGCGUAGAGAUCUGGAGGAAUACCGGUGGCGAAGGCGGCCCCCUGGACAAAGACUGACGCUCAGGUGCGAAAGCGUGGGGAGCAAACAGGAUUAGAUACCCGAGUAGUCCCUGUCUCUUAUAU
rnacentral:rRNA from 1 species